GGGGGCUCCUCAAUGGCAUUGAAGCUGCUUCUACUGUGGCUGGUUGUUCUGGGACAGGGUCAAGUGGUAAUGUUGAUGAAGCAGGAGGCAGGAGGCAGUUUCCGGGGGUGGAUAAACAGUCUUCAAUAAACACUGAUAGCCAUUCCAAGUUUAUAUCCUCUUCUUCCACCUAUUCGUUUUACAAUAAUCAUCCACAAAAGAAAGGCCAUUUAAAAUUAGAGGAACGAAUUAGACCAUUUAAAAUGACAAAACCAAAAGUAAAAAUAACCAAAAAAACAUAGACAAAACCAGGCAAGUUGUAAAUGAGCAUGUAAUAUCAGAGGAAGAAAGAACACGUAAUGUAAAGCACACGAACAAUACCGUUGUAUUGCCGGAGAAAAGAUCAUCUAAGCUGCCAAGAGUAGCGGGAGCGUGAUAUGGUUGAUGUUCCGACGGCAAGCCACCGGAAAGUGUAACAUUCCGGCAGAAAGCCAUAGUGAGCUCAAGAGGGGGAGUGAGGGAGAGCCUGUGCUUAAUAUACCAUCUUUCUGUGUCGGCAAAUAAUGCAGUAAUAUACUACAAAAAAAUCGCAACGAUUUAUGGAACCAAUAUUAUUUUUAGUUAUUAUUUAUUAGAGAAAAACCACAGUACCCAUCAAUCCAUCGAAUCUAGUUUAUCGUACAUGAAAUCAGGUAUUUAAAAAAAACCAGUGUGUAUCGGAAAUUUUCCGAAUAAAUUUUAUAAAAUAUUCUAUCAUUUUAAUGAUUAAAAUAAAUUGAACUAACAAAAAGUCCAAAUUAAUAUUCAGUAAAAGUACUGAAUGGAUAGAUAAACUAACUAGUUUCAAUACUCAUGUACAACAUAUUUUCUUCGCUAGUGGAGUAAUGCUUUGUGAAAUAUUGUAAGCGUUUGUCUGGUGUGUGCUCACUCCUGACCGAUGGAUAUUCAUCUAACGGCCCAGAAUCUAUAAGUUACUUAACAGCUCCGUGACAAUCAUAUACCAGAGACCGUUAUCCGAACAAAAUUUGCAAGUUUACCAUAUAGCCAGAACUAGAUGAACUAACAUAUCCAGUACACUACAUGACUGUCUUUGACCCUGGAAACAUCAUAUUAUUCAUACACCUCAAAAAGGGGCUUAAGAACAACUCUUAUGGUGAUUAAACAGAUAAAACAGAUGGAAAAUUAAUCACCAUUAAAGGAGGAAAGCACUGACAUACUUCUCAUCUCCAAGACUUUCUUGUGAGAAUUGGAGUGCUUGUAGCUCACAAAAGUGGGACUCUUUGCUGGCCUGUACUCAGGCAACAACCUGCCGGACUUGUACCUCACCCCACAUGCAUUGCACAGUGUUUUUGGCCCUGCUGGUCCUGCCCUCCAUUGUGGGGUCUUCUGUGACAAACAGUGGCUACAUCUCCUUGGCUGCUGCCCAUUUAGACCCUGAAAACUGCUGCCCAUAUUUCCCUCUUUUGCAAUGCUUUGUUCCUGAUAUUUGGGGAAAAUGGGUUCACUGUCAGCCAACCAAUAAGCCUGGUGGAGCAAAGGAGGGUCAGGGCUCCAUCUCAUGCUUUUUCUGGGAUUUUUACAUGGAACUCUGCUUCUUUUGCUUCUUGCCCUUGAAGCUCCAGGGGGGCUCCUCAAUGGCAUUGAAGCUGCUUCUACUGUGG
rnacentral:lncRNA from 1 species